GCCGCUCGCCUGCGGCGCCGCGGCCUCGACGCCGCAUCCCCAACCCACUACUCCCCGCCGCGGCGCCGCCACUCUCCCUCCGCGCCAGCCGCCUGCGCGCCCCUCUCUCCGCCUCCGCGCCCUACGCGCCCUCCCUCCCUCCUCGUGCCACCCGGGGAGGUAGCUCGGCCGCUUUCCCGCGAUGCUGCAGUGGACGGGAGGCUCCAGGAGGCAGGUGUAUGCCUCCAGGAAAUCGACACAGAGCAGGCAGAGGUAGUACUUUGAACAAAAGAAGCGGCAGCAGCAGACGGCAGGGCUGCAGAACCAGGAUGGCACAGAUGGCGCAGGCGGCCAAGCUGUUGGUGAUCAGGCACCUCGAUCGCUUGACAUCCUAAGCCUGAACAAUUCGGCAGCUCCAGUCAGUCACCGCAAUGGCCCUGAAAAUGCAGGUAGUUUUCUUCCAAAUUUGGACAACGCAAGUUUUUGUGCUUCCCCUCUAGAGGCGCUGAAGAAGAUCACUUCUUCAUAUAAUAUUGAUCCGAAGGAAACAAGUAAGAGUACAGCUAUAUGUAUAUCAGAUGAGGGAAUUCAUUAUGCUUUUCUUGUUAUAUUGUAUUUGCAUGCUUAGCACAGAUAUAUUAACAAGAUCAA